AGCGAACGCUGGCGGCAGGCCUAACACAUGCAAGUCGAACGAAGCCUUCGGGCUUAGUGGCGGACGGGUGAGUAACACGUGGGAACGUACCUUUUGGUUCGGAACAACUCAGGGAAACUUGAGCUAAUACCGGAUGAGCCCUUAGGGGGAAAGAUUUAUCGCCGAAAGAGCGGCCCGCGUUAGAUUAGCUAGUUGGUGAGGUAAAGGCUCACCAAGGCAACGAUCUAUAGCUGGUCUGAGAGGAUGAUCAGCCACACUGGGACUGAGACACGGCCCAGACUCCUACGGGAGGCAGCAGUGGGGAAUCUUGCGCAGUGGGCGAAAGCCUGACGCAGCCAUGCCGCGUGAAUGAUGAAGGUCUUAGGAUUGUAAAAUUCUUUUACCAGGGACGAUAAUGACGGUACCUGGAGAAAAAGCCCCGGCUAACUUCGUGCCAGCAGCAGCCGCGG
rnacentral:rRNA from 1 species